UACGAAGGGGGCUAGCGUUGCUCGGAAUUACUGGGCGUAAAGCGCACGUAGGCGGCUUCUUAAGUCGGAGGUGAAAUCCUGGAGCUCAACUCCAGAACUGCCUUCGAUACUGGGAAGCUCGAGUCCGGGAGAGGUGAGUGGAACUGCGAGUGUAGAGGUGAAAUUCGUAGAUAUUCGCAAGAACACCAGUGGCGAAGGCGGCUCACUGGCCCGGUACUGACGCUGAGG
rnacentral:rRNA from 1 species